UAAGGAAUAUUGGACAAUGGUCGCAAGACUGAUCCAGCCAUGCCGCGUGCAGGAAGACGGCCCUAUGGGUUGUAAACUGCUUUUGUACCAGAGAAAGCCUAUCUACGUGUAGAUAGCUGAUAGUAUGGUAAGAAUAAGCAUCGGCUAACUUCGUGCCAGCAGCCGCGGUAAGACGAAGGAUGCAAGCGUUAUCCGGAUUCAUUGGGUUUAAAGGGUGCGUAGGCGGGCUUGUAAGUCAGUGGUGAAAUCUCUCAGCUUAACUGAGAAACUGCCAUUGAUACUGCAGGCCUAGAGUAUAGAUGACGUUGGCGGAAUAUGACAUGUAGUGGUGAAAUACUUAGAUAUGUCAUAGAACACCGAUUGCGAAGGCAGCUAACGAAACUAUAACUGACGCUGAGGCACGAAAGUGCGGGGAUCAAACA
rnacentral:rRNA from 1 species